CCUACGGGCGGCAGCAGUGGGGAAUAUUGCACAAUGGGGGAAACCCUGAUGCAGCGACGCCGCGUGAGUGAAGAUGUAUUUCGGUAUGUAAAGCUCUUUUAGCAGGGAAGAAAAUGACGGUACCUGGUUCAGAAGCCCCGGCUAACGACGUGACAGCAGCCGCGGUAAUACGUAGGGGGCAAGGGUUAUCCGGGUUUACUGGGUGUAAGGGGAGCGUAGACGGCAGAACAAGUCUGGAGUGAAAUGCCGGGGCUUAACCCCGGAACUGCCUUGGAAACUGUGCAGCUAGAGUGCAGGCGAGGUAAGAGGAAUGCCUGGUGUAGCGGUGAAAUGCGUAGAUAUUA
rnacentral:rRNA from 1 species